CACGUAGUUAGCCGUGGCUUAUUCAAGGGGUACCGUCUUCUGCUCUUCCCCCUUAAAAGAAGUUUACAACCCGAAAGCCUUCUUCCUUCACGCGGCGUUGCUGGGUCAGACUUGCGUCCAUUGCCCAGUAUUCCCCACUGCUGCCUCCCGUAGGAGUCUGGGCCGUAUCUCAGUCCCAAUGUGGCCGGCCAACCUCUCAGUCCGGCUACUGAUCGUCGCCUUGGGUGGGCCGUUACCUCACCAACUAGCUAAUCAGACGCGAGGCCAUCUUCCAGCGAUAAAUCUUUGACAUGUCUGUGAUGCCACAGUCAUGCGUCAUGCGGUAUUAGCAGUCGUUUCCAACUGUUGUCCCCCUCUGGAAGGCAGGUUCCCUCACGCGUUACUCACCAGUCCGCCACUAAGCAACUCAAUCCAUUGUCCGAAAACUCUUUCAUGAGCGCUCCGUUCGACUUGCAUGUGUUAAGCACGCCGCCAGCGUUCGUCCUCGACGCCACGGAUACUAAAC
rnacentral:rRNA from 1 species